rnacentral:misc_RNA from 1 species
GAGUUCAUGCCCUCACGGGUAGAUCUCCCACCCUUGAAUAUUAUACCUUCGUUGCUUUGGCAGGCCGUGGAAACACCAUGGGCUCCGGCUGAUGCGUGCCUGCCAGAGAAUAUCAAAACUCUUUUUAUUAAUGUCGUCUGAGUACUAUAUAAUAGUUAAAACUUUCAACAACGGAUCUCUUGGUUCU